GGGGAAUAUUGCACAAUGGGCGAAAGCCUGAUGCAGCGACGCCGCGUGAGCGAAGAAGUAUUUCGGUAUGUAAAGCUCUAUCAGCAGGGAAGAUAAUGACGGUACCUGACUAAGAAGCACCGGCUAAAUACGUGCCAGCAGCCGCGGUAAUACGUAUGGUGCAAGCGUUAUCCGGAAUUACUGGGUGUAAAGGGAGCGCAGGCGGACUAGCAAGUUGGAAGUGAAAUCUAUGGGCUCAACUCAUAAAUUGCUUUCAAAACUGCCGGUCUUGAGUAGUGCAGAGGUAGGCGGAAUUCCCGGUGUAGCGGUGGAAUGCGUAGAUAUCGGGAGGAACACCAGUGGCGAAGGCGGCCUACUGGGCACCAACUGACGCUGAGGCUCGAAAGUAUGGGUAGCAAACAGGAUUAGAUACCCUGGUAGUCCAUACCGUAAACGAUGAUUACUAGGUGUUGGAGGAUUGACCCCUUCAGUGCCGCAGUUAACACAAUAAGUAAUCCACCUGGGGAGUACGACCGCAAGGUUGAAACUCAAAGGAAUUGACGGGGGCCCGCACAAGCAGUGGAGUAUGUGGUUUAAUUCGAAGCAACGCGAAGAACCUUACCAGGUCUUGACAUCCGAUGCAUAGCAUAGAGAUAUGUGAAGUCCUUCGGGACAUCGAGACAGGUGGCGCAUGGUUGUCGUCAGCUCGUGUCGUGAGAUGUUGGGUUAAGUCCCGCAACGAGCGCAACCCUUAUUGCCAGUUACUACGCAAGAGGACUCUGGCGAGACUGCCGUUGACAAAACGGAGGAAGGUGGGGAUGACGUCAAAUCAUCAUGCCCUUUAUGACCUGGGCUACACACGUACUACAAUGGCGUUUAACAAAGAGAAGCGAUACCGCGAGGUGGAGCAAAACUCAAAAACAACGUCUCAGUUCAGAUUGCAGGCUGCAACUCGCCUGCAUGAAGUCGGAAUUGCUAGUAAUCGCGGAUCAGCAUGCCGCGGUGAAUACGUUCCCG
rnacentral:rRNA from 1 species